rnacentral:rRNA from 1 species
UACGUAGGUGGCAAGCGUUGUCCGGAAUUAUUGGGCAUAAAGCGCGCGCAGGCGGUCCUUUAAGUCUGAUGUGAAAGCCCACGGCUCAACCGUGGAGGGUCAUUGGAAACUGGGGGACUUGAGUACAGAAGAGGAAAGCGGAAUUCCACGUGUAGCGGUGAAAUGCGUAGAGAUGUGGAGGAACACCAGUGGCGAAGGCGGCUUUCUGGUCUGUAACUGACGCUGAGGCGCGAAAGCGUGGGGAGCAAACAGG